rnacentral:rRNA from 1 species
UCAGGCCUGCAUUCGAUACGGGCAAACUAGAGUUUGGUAGGGGAGACUGGAAUUCCUGGUGUAGCGGUGGAAUGCGCAGAUAUCAGGAGGAACACCAAUGGCGAAGGCAGGUCUCUGGGCCAAUACUGACACUGAGGAGCGAAAGUCUGGGGAGCGAACAGGAUUAGAUACCCUGGUAGUCCAGACCGUAAACGGUGGGCACUAGUUGUGGGAACCUUCCACGGUUUCUGCGACGCAGCUAACGCAUUAAGUGCCCCGCCUGGGGAGUACGAUCGCAAGAUUAAAACUCAAAGGAAUUGACGGGGCCCCGCACAAGCAGCGGAGCAUGCGGCUUAAUUCGACGCAACGCGAAGAACCUUACCAAGGCUUGACAUAUAGGGAAAAGUGGCAGAGAUGUCAUGUCCGCAAGGGCUCUAUACAGGUGGUGCAUGGUUGUCGUCAGCUCGUGUCGUGAGAUGUUGGGUUAAGUCCCGCAACGAGCGCAACCCUCGUUCUGUGUUGCCAGCAUUUAGUUGGGGACUCACAGGAGACUGCCGGGGUUAACUCGGAGGAAGGUGGGGAUGACGUCAAAUCAUCAUGCCCCUUAUGUCUUGGGCUGCACGCAUGCU